CCCACCUGUACUAUUUAUGUGGCGCCGUGUUUUCUUCUUCCGCGUGUCUUCUUCUCUUUUCUCCACCGAACGACCGCUGGGGGGAGAGACAUCACAUCAGAAAGUGCUGCAAACACCACUCAAAUCAUCACCUUCUGUAAGCAAAAAAGAAGAAGUUCAAGAUAGAGAGAAGAGUGAUAGUAGAAGAAGCAAAUCAAAUGGGCAAUCGGUGCAGCGUAGUUUGCUAAGGACACCAUCAUUGCCACCGAGUUUAGGGACGGCAGACCUCUGCUCUAUUUGCCCAAAAGACUGAAAUUCAUCACUGAGAGAAAGAGAGAAGAAAGAAGAACAAGUAUAAAGGACCUUCAAAUUCUUCGCAGUUUGAUAAGGGGCAGAAGGUAAAUAGCUCAGAGAAAAGGAAGAGUGGGACUGGAAGCAAUCAAAAUCGGGCUCUAAUAUCCAGAUUUGCAACACAUAACAGUCGGUGGUACCAAGCAUGUCCACACUGUUUUUGUCAACUAAAACAAAAGAAGAACAACGAUCUGCUAAUCUGUAUGGAACACAAUAUGCAAGUGCCUCUUCCAUGGGAGGAGUUCGGCAAGACCUUCAAACUGGAGUUUCCUGAUGCGGACACAUGUUAAGAGAUCAAAACUUCCUUCAGAUGGAGCUGACUUUGUGAUGGAAGAUGUCCCAUUAUUGACAAAUCUUCUGCAAUAUCAUGAUGCUAAGGUUUUGGAGCAUGCUUCUGUAUGUCGGACCCAAAUUGCUGAAUCAUUUGCAUCAUCGCCUGACAAUCUUGACGAACUAUGUACCUGACUGAUGAGGCUGCUGCACUUUUGCUUUACUCUUUAUUGCAAGGAAAUGCUGACUUUCUAUAGUAUGUCUUGGUGCGAACUUAUUUGGAUACACUGGUACUAAAAUGAAAUCAACACUUGAUACUGACCUCUAUUUAUAUGAUGAAAUGGACAGUCGAUGCCCAUCCUGGAAGCGUUAUAUGAUGCUCCAAAAAGGACAUCUAAUCAAUUCUACAUGUUGCUGAUCAUACUUCUCAUACUUAGUCAGGAUUCAUCUUUUAAUGCAAGCAUUCACAAAUUGGUAAGGAUUGCCUCCUGUAGCCAACAACUAUUUAAUUAUAUAAUCAGAAACAGACUAUGCUCUAAAUCUGGCAUGAAUCUAAUUUUGCUUAUUAUGGAAGUUAAAGUAACUCUUUUCUGUGGCUCAUUAUACUUGAUACUGUUCCUGGUAAUCUAAUUUGUAAAAGGUUCUUAGAAACAUAGUAGACCCAGUUUUCCAUUUUCUUUAUCACAA